rnacentral:rRNA from 1 species
AUGUUAUCUCUGUGUAUGUAUGAAGAGGACUGCAUAAUCAUGAAGGAUGAUCUGGUGAAGCAGUGGAUGGCCGAAGAUUUCAUCUCCGCAGCGGAAGGGAACGACAGGGAAGAAGUUGCACACAGCUAUUUUUGUGAGCUUGUUAACAGGGGAAUGAUCCAACCUGUGGAUAUCAACUGCAACGACGAAAUUCUGUCAUGUAGAGUGCACCACAUAGUACUUCAGUUUAUUAGGGACAAGUCCAUGGAAGAGAAUUUCUGCAUUGCAAUAGCUCAUUCUCAGACAACUAUAAGGCUUGCUGACAAGGUUCGUCGGCUGGCCCUCCACUUGGGCAAUGUGGAGGAUGCCAUGCCGCUGGGGCCCGAGAGCAUGAGACUGUCAAAAGUUCGAUCAGUUGCCUUUUCUGGAUUUCUCAAGUGGAUGCCUUCAGUUGUGGAGUUUCGGUUUCUUCAGGUUCUGAUCCUUAAAUUAUUGGCUGAUUCUGAUCAAAUGAGAGACAGCCAUACUGCACCUGAUGACCUGAGUGGCAAUAUCAGUGAACCUGAUGAUGACCUGAGCGACAACCUUACUGAACCUGAUGAGCCGAGUUACAGCCUCACUGGAAUUUCGGAGCUCUUCAGACUGAGAUAUUUUCAUCUUGAUGCAUGCCAUAUGAGUGUGGAGCUUCCAACUCAGAUGCAACAGCUGAAAGAAUUGAUGGCAUGGGAAAUUGAUGCUGAAGUAGCUGCACUUCCAGCAGACAUUGUCGAUCUGCCGGGCUUGUUGUACCUCACCAUUCCUAGCGAGGCUGAUCUGCCCGCUGGUAUUGGCCGUAUGACCUCUCUUCGCACUCUGGGAGUUUUUGAUCUCAGCAAGAACUCGACAGAAACCGUUAUGAGCCUCGCUGAGCUGACUAAUCUCCAGGAACUUCGUCUAUCAUGUUCCACACUACAACCUGGUAACCUGGAAAAGAACCUGGAAUGCUUGGGGACGAUAGUUCGGAAACUAGGGAAUCUCAAACGUGUAACUCUAGUACCUGCAGCCUCCUCUCUUGUAAAAAGUCAGGAUGAUGAUGCAGGUUCUUCAAACAUGAGCAUUUCCUGGCUUGGCUUCAGCAUCCAGCCCCUUCCUCCGGCCCUUCUUCAGACACUAGAGUUGUCACGGCGCUGCUGCAUCUUCUCCACCCUACCUGAGUGGACCAAAGAACUUACCAACCUUUACAUUUUAAAGAUGGCAGUUAGAGAGUUGUCAAGAGAAGAUAUUGCUAUUUUGAAAGGAUUGCCUUCCCUAGCGGCUCUCUCCUUGUUCAUCUCGACUGCCCCUGCAAGCAGGAGCAGGAUAUUGUUUGAUGAUGAGGGAUUCUCGGUUCUCAAGUACUUCAAGUUUGUGUGUGCUGCACCAUGCCUGGCUUUUAUGCAUGGAGCAAUGCCCAAAGUCCGAAAGGUCAAGAUAGGUUUCAAUGCCAAUAGAAUGAAAGAGUACGGCUUGAAUGAUGCUGGGUUUGAGCUCCUAAUGAGCCUAACUGAGAUCUCCUUAAAAAUUAGGGGCACUGGUGCUGAUCGACACAACAGAAGGUCUACACAGCUGGUCUUGACCGGCGCCAUUGGCAAGGAUCCAAGAACCUCCACCAUCAAUGUGCAAUGGGUGGGCUGGGAUCCUUUUGGUGACGAGGAGAUCUACAUCGAGGCUCAAAAGGAGAUGAGGAAGUGGACUUCGGCAAAACAAGGCAUGACCGCUGGUGAGAGCUCAGAUGAACAUGCAAUUGAAGAAAAGAACUUGGAGGAAGAUGCGCAGAAGCAAGCAGAUACAAGGACUUAUGCGCCACCAGAAUCCACCUUGCAUCCACGGAGGGAGUACAACCUCAUCUAUAUGAACUGA